UCCGAAUUGGUGUAGUGGCUAACAUUUGGUGCUCUCACUUCUUGUCCAGUGACCCGCCAAGCCCGGGGUUCGAUUCCCCGAUUCGGAG